rnacentral:tRNA from 1 species
GAGGGUCUAGCGUAGUAGUAGAGUACAUGCCUAGCAUGCAUGAGAUCCUGGGUUCAACCCCCAGUACCUCCA